UUGCUCCACCGAAAGAAAAGGAGUGGCGAACGGGUGAGUAACACGUGGGUAACCUGCCCAUCAGAAGGGGAUAACACUUGGAAACAGGUGCUAAUACCGUAUAACAAUCGAAACCGCAUGGUUUUGAUUUGAAAGGCGCUUUCGGGUGUCGCUGAUGGAUGGACCCGCGGUGCAUUAGCUAGUUGGUGAGGUAACGGCUCACCAAGGCCACGAUGCAUAGCCGACCUGAGAGGGUGAUCGGCCACAUUGGGACUGAGACACGGCCCAAACUCCUACGGGAGGCAGCAGUAGGGAAUCUUCGGCAAUGGACGAAAGUCUGACCGAGCAACGCCGCGUGAGUGAAGAAGGUUUUCGGAUCGUAAAACUCUGUUGUUAGAGAAGAACAAGGAUGAGAGUAACUGUUCAUCCCUUGACGGUAUCUAACCAGAAAGCCACGGCUAACUACGUGCCAGCAGCCGCGGUAAUACGUAGGUGGCAAGCGUUGUCCGGAUUUAUUGGGCGUAAAGCGAGCGCAGGCGGUUUCUUAAGUCUGAUGUGAAAGCCCCCGGCUCAACCGGGGAGGGUCAUUGGAAACUGGGAGACUUGAGUGCAGAAGAGGAGAGUGGAAUUCCAUGUGUAGCGGUGAAAUGCGUAGAUAUAUGGAGGAACACCAGUGGCGAAGGCGACUCUCUGGUCUGUAACUGACGCUGAGGCUCGAAAGCGUGGGGAGCAAACAGGAUUAGAUACCCUGGUAGUCCACGCCGUAAACGAUGAGUGCUAAGUGUUGGAGGGUUUCCGCCCUUCAGUGCUGCAGCUAACGCAUUAAGCACUCCGCCUGGGGAGUACGACCGCAAGGUUGAAACUCAAAGGAAUUGACGGGGGCCCGCACAAGCGGUGGAGCAUGUGGUUUAAUUCGAAGCAACGCGAAGAACCUUACCAGGUCUUGACAUCCUUUGACCACUCUAGAGAUAGAGCUUCCCCUUCGGGGGCAAAGUGACAGGUGGUGCAUGGUUGUCGUCAGCUCGUGUCGUGAGAUGUUGGGUUAAGUCCCGCAACGAGCGCAACCCUUAUUGUUAGUUGCCAUCAUUUAGUUGGGCACUCUAGCAAGACUGCCGGUGACAAACCGGAGGAAGGUGGGGAUGACGUCAAAUCAUCAUGCCCCUUAUGACCUGGGCUACACACGUGCUACAAUGGGAAGUACAACGAGUCGCGAAGUCGCGAGGCUAAGCUAAUCUCUUAAAGCUUCUCUCAGUUCGGAUUGUAGGCUGCAACUCGCCUACAUGAAGCCGGAAUCGCUAGUAAUCGCGGAUCAGCACGCCGCGGUGAAUACGUUCCCGGGCCUUGUACACACCGCCCGUCACACCACGAAAGUUUGUAACACCCGAAGUCGGUGAGGUAACCUUUUGGAGCCAGCC
rnacentral:rRNA from 1 species